rnacentral:tRNA from 1 species
GGAUACUUAGCUCAGCUGGUAAGAGCAUCCGGCUCAUAACCGGACGGUCGCAGGUUCAAGUCCUGCAGUAUCCA